rnacentral:rRNA from 1 species
GAUGAACGCUGACAGAAUGCUUAACACAUGCAAGUCUACUUGAUUCUACUUCGGUAGUUGAUGGUGGCGGACGGGUGAGUAACGCGUAAAGAAUCUGCCCUUUAGUUCGGGAUAACCUUUGGAAACGAAGGAUAAUACCGGAUAUUAUGGAGACGUCGCAUGACGAUUUCAUGAAAGCUAUAUGCGCUAGAGGAGGACUUUGCGUCCCAUUAGUUAGUUGGUGAGGUAAUGGCUCACCAAGACCGCGAUGGGUAGCCGGCCUGAGAGGGUGAUCGGCCACAAGGGAACUGAGACACGGUCCUUACUCCUACGGGAGGCAGCAGUGGGGAAUAUUGGACAAUGGGCCACAAGCCUGAUCCAGCAAUUCUGUGUGGACGAUGAAGGUCUUCGGAUUGUAAAGUGCUUUCAGUAGGGAAGAAAAAAAUGACGGUACCUACAGAAGAAGCGACGGCUAAAUAUGUGCCAGCAGCCGCCGUAAAAC